CCUACGGGAGGCACCAGUGGGGAAUAUUGCACAAUGGGCGCAAGCCUGAUGCAGCCAUGCCGCGCGUAUGAAGAAGGCCUUAGGGUUGUAAAGUACUUUCAGUUGGGAGGAAGGCGUUGAUGCUAAUAUCAUCAACGAUUGUCGUUACCAACAGAAGAAGCACCGGCUACUCCGUGCCAGCAGCCGCGGUAAUACGGAGGGUGCAAGCGUUAAUCGGAAUUACUGGGCGUAAAGCGCACGCAGGCGGUUGAUUAAGUUAGAUGUGAAAUCCCCGGGCUUAACCUGGGAAUGGCACCUAAGACUGGUCAGCUAGAGUCUUGUAGAGGGGGGUAGAAUUCCAUGUGUAGCGGUGAAAUGCGUAGAGAUGUGGAGGAAUACCGGUGGCGAAGGCGGCCCCCUGGACAAAGACUGACGCUCAGGUGCGAAAGCGUGGGGAGCAAACAGGAUUAGAUACCCCUGUAGUC
rnacentral:rRNA from 1 species